rnacentral:rRNA from 1 species
ACGGGUGAGUAAUACGUGAGUAACCUGCCCUUGACUCUGGGAUAAGCCUGGGAAACUGGGUCUAAUACUGGAUACUACCGCUUGCCGCAUGGUGGGUGGUGGAAAGGGUUUUACUGGUUUUGGAUGGGCUCACGGCCUAUCAGCUUGUUGGUGGGGUAAUGGCUCACCAAGGCGACGACGGGUAGCCGGCCUGAGAGGGUGACCGGCCACACUGGGACUGAGACACGGCCCAGACUCCUACGGGAGGCAGCAGUGGGGAAUAUUGCACAAUGGGCGGAAGCCUGAUGCAGCGACGCCGCGUGAGGGAUGACGGCCUUCGGGUUGUAAACCUCUUUCAGUAGGGAAGAAGCGAGAGUGACGGUACCUGCAGAAGAAGCGCCGGCUAACUACGUGCCAGCAGCCGCGGUAAUACGUAGGGCGCAAGCGUUGUCCGGAAUUAUUGGGCGUAAAGAGCUCGUAGGCGGUUUGUCGCGUCUGCUGUGAAAGCCCGGGGCUCAACCCCGGGUCUGCAGUGGGUACGGGCAGACUAGAGUGCAGUAGGGGAGACUGGAAUUCCUGGUGUAGCGGUGAAAUGCGCAGAUAUCAGGAGGAACACCGAUGGCGAAGGCAGGUCUCUGGGCUGUUACUGACGCUGAGGAGCGAAAGCAUGGGGAGCGAACAGGAUUAGAUACCCUGGUAGUCCAUGCCGUAAA